UACGAAGGGUGCAAGCGUUAAUCGGAAUUACUGGGCGUAAAGGGUGCGUAGGCGGUUCGUUAAGUCUGUUGUGAAAUCCCCGGGCUCAACCUGGGAAUGGCAAUGGAUACUGGCGAGCUAGAGUGUGUCAGAGGAUGGUGGAAUUCCCGGUGUAGCGGUGAAAUGCGUAGAGAUCGGGAGGAACACCGGUGGCGAAGGCGGCGAUCUGGGUAGAUACUGACGCUGAGGUGCGAAAGCGUGGGGAGCAAACAGG
rnacentral:rRNA from 1 species